UGAAUUUUCAACUAAAUCCAACACAUAGCCCAGCCCAGUUCCAACACAUCAAAACCCAAACCAAUGUACUCUUCUCCGUAUCCAAACAAAGAAGAAAAAGAAAAAGAAGAAGAAGAAAUGUGUCUCAUGCGGUGUUCAAACUAUCAUCAUAGAAGGUGGUGGUUGGUGGUCCCUACUUAAAGCCUUGUCUUCUUCUUCUUCUUUUUCCUCGUCGUUAGCGGUGGUGGAAGGAGACUCCUCCUCCGUCGACCCUGAGUUACUUCUUUCAACUUCUAUUAGUGUUUUUGGUUGCUCAGAAUUUUUUGAGAAGUUGCACACUUAGUCUAUGUUUCAAACAUAAUUGAACUAAACUCCAAAUGUUCAAGGACCCAAUUAUGUAUGAUGUGGACAAUUUGAACUUUUCUCCAAUUAUGUACAUUUCAUUUUAGGGUCAUUAAUAAAAAUGCGAACAACUUUUGGAUUGGCUAUGGGUCCUCACAGUCACAAAUUAACCAAGCUUUUUGGUCAUAAAUUCGUAGAUGCAGUGUUAAAUGAAUGGCAGAGGAUAAUGAUGGAUUUUCCUGCUGGAUUCCAAAAGCUUAUGAAAUGGAUGAGUGGAGCGCGGGGACUGUCCCCUCAAUGAGGCUUUUCCAGAGAACUUUACAACAUUAGUUGGUCUAAAGAGAGCGAAUGUCAUGGGUUUCUCUGAUUGUAGGCUUCACUAGGAUGUUCAAUUUUUUCGUUGAGUGCAAGAUUGGGAAUUAGAAUCUUUGGCCUUAUUUAUGGACAUGAUUUAUUCAACGUCUGUGUGGGGCAAUGGUUUAGACAAAAGUUGUUGGAAGCCAGCUAUCCCUUUCUAAUGUCAUGCCAUUCUCUUGGAAAACAGUUUGGCAAGCGAAGGUCGAUCCCUCCUAGGAUGGCGUUCUUUUCAUGGUCUGCUACUUUGGGUAAGAAUUUAAUUAUAUAGAUAAUCUUCGGAAAUAAAGAAUUAUUGUGAUAAACUAUUGUUGUAUGUGCAAAUGGUUUGGGGAAGCAGUAGAUUACCUUCUUCUUCAAUGUCCUAUAGCAUAUGAGUUGUGGACAAUGGUGUUUAGAUUGUUCGGUAUUCAUUGGGUUAUGCCGCCAAGGGUCAGUGAGUUGUUUGCUUCUUGGCAGGGCAAUUUCAGCUAGCAUCACGAUAUAGCUUUCUGGAGGUUUGUGCUGCAUUGAAGGAACAGAGCGCUAAAUGUUUUGAGGGAUGUGAACGUUCUAAUGUCAAGUUUAAGACUUUCUUCAUCCAUUCUUUGCUCAAGUGGAGCUUAGCUUUACAAACUUCUUUUUCUUCUCUUCUUAUUUUGUUUGACCAUUGUUUUUUGGGAUCUUAAUUGUAUUACACCCACAAUAGAUUUCCU